UAGAGGAUAAGUCCACAAAUCAGUAGGUUGAUCAGCUAAAAAAUAUUCGAUUAGUAUGACAAGCCUUUCAGUCUAUCGAUGGCUGUAUGUCAUGAUAAGUCCAGAGCACCAUGCUUCUAGUCAAGAAUAAUAUAAAGAAGUGGGAGAUAGUUAUUGUCUUGAUUCUGCGUUUUCAAAAGAUAUCUGGCCAGCUACUGGGAGAAGUAGGAUGCAGAAUUAGCUGGAUCCAGGUCUCCUAAAACUUCAAACCUCUCCAGAAUAGUUCAGUUUUUAAUAACCCAAAAACUAGAUGUAUGGGGGCCAAUCAUAUUUUCAGAAGAGGCUAUUCUGUAAUGCAGAUGCACCAAUUGAAAAGUAUCCCCAUCUUCACAAGCUGAUGAUGCAAUUUCUCCUAGGGAAUCAGGUGCAAGACAAUACUACAAAUACCUCACUACAAAGCCAUAAAGAACCUUUAUAGGCUAAAAUCUGCACUUUAAUUUCACUUGGAAAUUUAUAAGAAGUCUAUGCUGGAUUUGGAACAUACUGUACAUCAUGUGUAAACCAGCCAAUACUUUAGCUGCUGCAUUUUGAACCAAUUGUUUCAGGUCAUCUUUAAAGGCUGUCAAAUAUAUAGGUAAUCCUUGGCUUAUCACUUAAUAACCAUUCAGAGUAAUAAAAAAAGUGAUUUAUGACCUCUUGCCCCCCCACCCAGUCACAUGACUGGAUUUAGGGCACUUAGAAAGCAGCUCCCAUUUACAACUGCUUGCAGUGUCUUGUGAUCACAAGACUGAGAUUUGUGUCAUUUUCUGCUGGUUUCUAGCUCCAAAAACUCCUAUUUAGGAAAGUGGAUUUGGACUUAUAACCACAAGAUUUGGUGAACUGCACUGUAAACAUAGUCAUAAAAACAGGUUCAAUCGCAUAGGUUCCUCAACUUAUGACUAUCAUGAAUUAUUAAUGAAAUUCUGGUCCUAAUUGUGGUUGUAAGUGGAGAUUACCUUUAAAGUAUAUUGUAUAUUGUAGGACUCCAGAUAAGAGAGUAUGUUUGAGAAAUCUUCUGAAAUAAUAUAAUCUUGACAGUCGGAAUCAUAUAUUAGAAAGUUGCACAAUUCUCCCUCAAACUCGUGUCGUAUUAUUCCAUUAUCACUAUUCAUUAAUGCACAACAUGCAAGUAUUUCCAGCCUUUGGCUACCUAUUUUAAUGUGAAUUAACUUAGGUGACCCAAAUUCAUUCUUUCUGGCAUACAUUUUAGCCAUUUUGUACAAAUUAAAUAUAUACCUUCCCUUCCCUUCCCUUCAUGUAUGAAUCAAUUCCACCCCACAAAUCAGAUCACUUGGAUUUCAGAUUUUUCCCAUCCUUUUCCUUUCUCUUGGUUUCACAGGUGCAUAACAAAUAUUUUUGCUUUCUUUUAUUUACUUUCAUUGUUCAUAUGCUUUUUCACAUAUUCCUCUUACAUUCAAAGUCAUAACCUUCCAUAUACAUAUAUUGUGAUCAUCACCAAACGAACUCAAGAUAUAGAGCUCUGCUUGCCAUCAUGAUUUUGGUCAACUGAGACUUUCACAUAAAAUUAUUUUAAUAUGAUAUAAAAAGUAUAAGGAUAGCUAUGUCAAAUGCAGCAUUCUUAGCCAAUAAUAAGGACAUCAGCCAGUUUUGUCACAUGUUGGCUGAUAUGGCACAAAAAAAAACCCAAUGUCAAGUUUUAAUCCAAGCAUGUCAAUUACUCUAGGCAAAGUAGGGUUCGAAUCCAGAGUCUACCUGCAAGUCAACUUCCAAUUGCCUGCAUCCCAUCAAUGAUAUAUGCUCAGAAUGCUAAUCAUUAUACAUCAUUUUACAGCAAGAUAAAGAUAAAAAUCCAAGAUGCCUACUGUAACAGUUUACACCAAUUUAUAUAUCCAAAAAAAAAAAAGACUGCUCAAUGAUGUGCUAUGAAGCACAAGUUUAAAUGAAAUUAUUUGAUCCAUAUCCCUCUUUAGUUGGCAAGAGUUACAUGAUAAAACAGAAUACAGGAGGUGCCUUAGCUAUAGUGGAUAAAAAUUAUAGGCAAAUUACUUACAACCUUUGCCUAUGACUUCAUUGCAUGGGAUAUUAAAGGUGAUAUUCCUCAUUAUUUGCUCAUCAUGCCUCUUUUGCAGCCACUAUGAAAUAUUUAGCUCCAAUGUCAAAAAAGGAAAUGGGCUUGACCAACCCCCUAGAAAGUUUGUUUCCUAAGAAUAGUAUGACCUUCGCAGCUGUGACAGUCUUUAUUUGAGCAGCUGCUCAAAGCCAUGUCAACUUUUGAUUCAUUUAUGACUGGGAAGAAGUAUCUUUUAACAGGAAAGGAAACAGCCUAUCUAUAACAGACCAGAAUGUUAUGUCCUAGGAUUGCAACAUAAAUAACUGAUUUAGACAUAGAAGGAAACAUGGAUGAGUCACAUCAGUUCCACAAAUCAAUUGCUUGCAGGUGGCUAGUUCCAAUAUAAAUGUUUAUGUUUAACUGUCAUUUCAACGCUAUCUACUCAAAUUUCAGCUUCUGAAAUGCAACUGCAACUGCUCAUACAAUUUCCAAAAUAUGAGGCAGAAGAACUGCCGUCAAUAUGCCGUCAAUAUUUGGAUUCAGCUCCAGUUAGACUCUCAUGUGCAGUAUUGAUCACAUUCCAUUGUGACAUUCUAUGUAACUCUCUGACAAAAAUUAUGUAAAAAUUAAAUUCUAUGUAAAUCUG